rnacentral:rRNA from 1 species
CGAGGAAGGACAUCACCCACAGAAGAAGCACCGGCUAACUCCGUGCCAGCAGCCGCGGUAAUACGGAGGGUGCGAGCGUUAAUCGGAAUUACUGGGCGUAAAGCGCGCGUAGGCGGUCUGAUAAGCCGGUUGUGAAAGCCCCGGGCUCAACCUGGGAACGGCAUCCGGAACUGUCAGGCUAGAGUGCAGGAGAGGAAGGUAGAAUUCCCGGUGUAGCGGUGAAAUGCGUAGAGAUCGGGAGGAAUACCAGUGGCGAAGGCGGCCUUCUGGACUGACACUGACGCUGAGGUGCGAAAGCGUGGGUAGCAAACAGGAUUAGAUACCCUGGUAGUCCACGCCGUAAACGAUGUCGACUAGCCGUUGGGCUCCUUGAGACCUUUGUGGCGCAGUUAACGCGAUAAGUCG